CGGCGGACGGGUGAGUAACGCGUGGGUAACCUGCCCUGUACACACGGAUAACAUACCGAAAGGUAUGCUAAUACGAGAUAAUAUACUUUUAUCGCAUGGUAGAAGUAUCAAAGCUUUUGCGGUACAGGAUGGACCCGCGUCUGAUUAGCUAGUUGGUAAGGUAACGGCUUACCAAGGCGACGAUCAGUAGCCGACCUGAGAGGGUGAUCGGCCACACUGGGACUGAGACACGGCCCAGACUCCUACGGGAGGCAGCAUG
rnacentral:rRNA from 1 species